GUUUUUUUAUCUAAAUAUUCCUAAUCAAACAAACUAAACCUACUGAGCUAUACGUUCUCCAUCCAGAAGAUGAUGUGCCUCUUGGAAUGCUUCACCAUGUUUCAGCUUUGCGCCGCGCCUUCGAAAUCGGAGCAGAGACGAGAUGAAGAAACAAGCUCCGACAUUCAAUCCAUUUCAACAUCCAGAUCAGUUUAUCGAUGUGUGCACGCGCUGUAGAGGGGAAACGGAACCGAAACAUAGUGCGAAUGGAAUUGGAAUGAGAAAACAUACUGAAUCGAAGUGCUGACGUGUUAGCUACAGGAUGAGUCGAUAAUGAGGAAGGGAGAGUGCAGUUUUUAUGCAGGGAGUUGUUUCACGAACACGGCACGGGGAAUUGAUGAAUGAUGAAGUUCUGCAGGUUUUUCCCCCUUUCGGCAUCCACGCACGAGCUUGAACCGAGAAGAAGAUGAAGAAUAAUAGUCCCGGAAUUAAUGAAUUAAAGCUUUGACACGAAUAGAGUGAAGAUGGUGAUUCUGGUGAGUUGUUGUGAGGAUGUGAGAAGGAUGCAGAAUCGUUAUUCAAGGUUGAAACAGAAUGAAGGAUGAAGAGGAAGAGUGAAAAGAGAUGAAGAAUGGUGGUUGCAGAAUGAUGAAGAAGCCCUAUUUGUGAUGGAAUUUAGAGGUUAGGAGCUGAUCCGGUUUUGUUGAAUCCUUCAGUAUGCUUUAUGCUGCAAUUGGAGGGCCAUACUUGCUGUUGGAGCUUGGACAUAGUAUGUUAUGUGGAUUGACUCACUUGUUUAGGAUUAGAUCAAUAGGUAUUAUGGAUUUAUUUUGGUAUUGUAAUGACAUGUUUAUGGAAUGGAGUUAGUAUGGGAUGUGAAUCAUGGAACUGAGUUAGGGAAUUAUUAUUGUAUAGAAUUGAGAUUGAAGUUGUGCAUUGAAUCUUGUAUUUAAUGCUUGAAUGUUAUGGAAAUUUUGAAGUUUCAUGAAAUGAUUGAAAUAGAAUUGAUAUUAUAUUUGCAUUGA